AUUUAGCUGCGUUAGUGGCGCUUUUUAUAAAGGCCGCAAAUUUUAAGUAAAAUCACUCUAAAUGAUGUAGUUUACUUAGCCCCGAUCUUCCUUAGUUCCCCCAACUCAGAUUUCCCCAAAUUGAUUUCCCUAAUUUCCCAUUUCAUAUUCUCCCAAUUACCCCGAUUUCAAAUCCCCAAUUUCACAAUUCCUUUUCCCCCAAUUUCCCCGAUAUCAUUUCCCCAAAUUCUGAACUGAGGUGUCCAACGCCGGUGCCGUCGCAGUCGUCUCCACUUCGGCUUCCUCUGUCAGACGCUUCCUCUGUCGCCCGCGUCCUCCCUUUGUAAAAAUCAUUUGACGGGUCUUGGUUUGUGGAAACAUUUAAGUUAUCAGCAUUAGUUGGCAGAUAACAAUUUGGUUCCAGUGCAGGUUGCAGUUCUUUGCCAAGGUGCCUUAUCCUUUUUAAUACCUGAUAAAAUGCCUAGAAGAAAAGUGCGAGAUCUAAGCAUUGUUCAAAAUACUCCAAACUCGGCAGAAACAAAUAGUGAACAACAGACUGCUAUUGGAUCUUCGAAUGUUCCGAUUACACCUGACGAACCUACAGAAAUUCAAAUGGUGGAACGCGCAGAGUUCGAGGACGUACGCUACUUAGGGAUUUAUACAAGUUAGAUUCAGUCGAGUGUGUCAAAGUAUGCAGUAACAGUUUUGGUCAGUCUGUUGGAUCAGAAGCUCGACUUUUAGCAGGAUACUUGGGCAUUCUAGCACGAAAUGCAAAUAUGUUUCCUAUCAACUACGAGUCAUGGCAUAAAAUGUCCGAUAGUAACAAAAACUAAACUCUCGAUAAUAUUAAGGCGAGGUUUGCUCUAGAGGUCUUAGAUACUUAUGUAAAGAAGGCAUUGGGAAAAAGAUAGAGAGACCAUAAAAGUACUUUAAAGAAAGAUUAUUAUAAGACAAAAACAACCCUCGACGAGAAAUUACAAAAUGUCCCACCGUGAAUGCUGAGGUACCAAUGGGAAGAGGCGGUUAGAUUUUGGAAUUUGAAGAAAGGAGAGGACUGUUAAACGAGUGGGAAAAAGCAGCAGGCAGAAACAGAAAUUCACUCAGACAGCUGGGUCGAAAAGUUUUGCUUGUGUAGCUGAGGCCGAGGAGCUGUUGUCCGGUCAAAAAGUUGAACGUCUUCAACUUUUUGACAUUACACAUAGGAAGAAAGAUGGAUCUCCUAUGACUCCUGAAGCUGCAGAAAUUAUGAAAAAAAUAAAGGAUAAAAAUGUGGAGUACAAAGCGAUUGCUUCCAGUGAUAGUUCUGUUCAUAUUGACGACAUUGAUAACCGGAUUAUUACUGAAGUUUUGGGUCCUAAAAUGUAUGGUCGAGUUCGAUUUCAAGGAUCUUUUGCUAACCCAACGCAAUAUUUGAGAUCCAGCUCGCAACAAUACAUGCCUUCGGGGAGUCAGGCUCAAGCUGAAGUUUAGAGGUUAAGAGAUCAGAUGGCUCAGAUGCAAGCGACCACAGUUGAGCAAAUUACACAACUUAAAGCGGAGGCAGCAUCGAGAGAAGUUGAGGUUCAAAGAAGAUAUGAAGAACUCCAGCUACAACUUAAAGCAGAUGCAGCAGCGAGAGAAGCUGAGGUUCAAAGGAAGUAUGAAGAACUCCAAUUGUAGCUUAAAGCAGAUGCGGCAGCGAGGGAAGCAGAGGCAGUAGCGAGAGAAGUAAAGGUAGCAGCGAGAGAAGCAGAGGCUGCAGCGAGGGAAGCAGAGCAGAGCAGAAAGUACGAUGAACUCCAACAACAACUUCAAAAUAUGAUGAAGAUGUUUCAGCGGUCGCAACAUCCGCCGUCUUAGACUAUCGUGUAAAUAUGUUUAUCAUUUUAACUUUUAACAUUUUGUAAGAAUAAUAUGAAUUAUAUUUUAUUUAUUGAUUUUUAUAUUAUAUAUUAUUCGUUUAA